CAACUUGUUUUGCCAUAUUUGCCCCAGUUAUUAUCUUUCUGCUUCCCUUUCUAUCUCCAGAAAAAGAAAUAUUAGAAAGGGAAAUCAGAUCCUUUUAGCCUUAAUACAUUGUUGAUCUAUGCGAGAAGACACAAUUCUGGGAUUUUUGUAAUUCUUAUACGGCAAACUCUUUUUUUUUAUGUGUGCGUUUGUGUCAACGAGAAGAAAAAAGAUGGGGCAGGGGGGGAAGCUUCAAGUUCUAUCUCUGGGAAUCAAAAUGGGUGCUAUAGGGACGUAACCAAUGUGAUUUUGAAUGUAUAUGAUCUAACUCCUAUCAAUAAUUACUCUUAUUGUCUUGGUUUCGGGAUUUUCCACUCCGGUAUUGAAGUUCAUGGUAAAGAGUAUGGGUUUGGGGCACAUGAUUUUCCAAUUAGUGGAGUUUUUGAAGUAGAGCCAAAGAGCUGCCCUGGUUUUAUAUACAGAUGUUCCAUCGCAUUGGGAUGCAUACACAUGCCUUUCUCUGAAUUCAGAGCAUUGAUCGAGAGUGUAGCUUCUGCGUACCAUGGAGAUACCUACCACCUCAUCUCCAAGAACUGUAACCACUUCACAGAUGACAGUGCAUAGAUUGACUGCCAAACAUAUCCCCGGAUGGGUAAACCGGCUGGCUCGGAUAGGUUUGUUGAUCCUUCCAAUCGUUUAUCAAAUUCUGUGUAUGCAUAUAUAUAUAUAUGUGUCUCUAUCUUUCUUCUUCAAAUUGUCCAUGACAUUUGAUGAUAUCAAUGGUUUACUCUUCCUUACAUUAUGUCAUACUGUUAGAUUUUGUAUGGGGGUAUCCCUCAAGGAAUUGACAUAUGUGUAGCUACUUUGUUUGAUACGUUUGAAGUUUGAACAAAGCUGGUCCUUGAGCCCAUUGGGAGUGGCAAACAACCCCUAAGCCAAGCCUAUAUUAUUGUUAUAUAGUAUACUUUUCGAGUUUUCGUCAUCCUAUUUGGCAUUUUCCACUAAAAUGAUAAAAAAGAAGGAAAAUCAUUAAGUUUAUGAUUUGCCAAAAAGGUAGGUUAUUUAUGCAGCUGUCUGCUUCCCGAAAGCCUUCAAGUAACCAAAGUGAGGCAGUUGCCUGAAUUCCACGAAAUUGAAGAAGAAAUUGAAACUGUCUCAAUAGCCUGGCCCCGCGACUCAACAGAAAUCAACGAUACAGAUCCGGAGAAGCAAUUGCUCUCACCAAAAGAGGGACCUUCGGAUAUAUCUUUUAUUAAAGAAGCUCUAACGUGCGACCGCAAAG